CGAAUGGGGAAACCCACCUGGCAUAAGCCAGGUAUCGUACACUGAAUACAUAGGUGUACGAAGCGAACCCGGAGAACUGAAACAUCUAAGUACCCGGAGGAAAAGAAAUCAACCGAGAUUCCCUUAGUAGCGGCGAGCGAACGGGGAGCAGCCUGCAAGUGAUAGUAGAAGUGUUAGUGGAACAGUCUGGAAAGUCUGGCAAUAAAGGGUGAUAGCCCCGUACACGAAAACUCAUCUAUGGUACUAAGCUUGCGAAAAGUAGGUCGGGACACGAGUUAUCUUGACUGAACAUGGGGGGACCGAUCCUCCA
rnacentral:rRNA from 1 species